AGAUUAAGUUAUUAAGGGCGCACGGUGGAUGCCUUGGCACUAGAAGCCGAUGAAGGACGUUACUAACGACGAUAUGCUUUGGGGAGCUGUAAGUAAGCUUUGAUCCAGAGAUUUCCGAAUGGGGAAACCCAGCAUGAGUUAUGUCAUGUUAUCGAUAUGUGAAUACAUAGCAUAUCAGAAGGCACACCCGGAGAACUGAAACAUCUUAGUACCCGGAGGAAGAGAAAGAAAAUUCGAUUCCCUUAGUAGCGGCGAGCGAAACGGGAAGAGCCCAAACCAACAAGCUUGCUUGUUGGGGUUGUAGGACACUCUAUACGGAGUUACAAAGGACGACAUUAGACGAAUCAUCUGGAAAGAUGAAUCAAAGAAGGUAAUAAUCCUGUAGUCGAAAAUGUUGUCUCUCUUGAGUGGAUCCUGAGUACGACGGAGCACGUGAAAUUCCGUCGGAAUCUGGGAGGACCAUCUCCUAAGGCUAAAUACUCUCUAGUGACCGAUAGUGAACCAGUACCGUGAGGGAAAGGUGAAAAGCACCCCGGAAGGGGAGUGAAAUAGAACCUGAAACCGUGUGCUUACAAGUAGUCAGAGCCCGUUAAUGGGUGAUGGCGUGCCUUUUGUAGAAUGAACCGGCGAGUUACGAUUUGAUGCAAGGUUAAGCAGUAAAUGUGGAGCCGUAGCGAAAGCGAGUCUGAAUAGGGCGUUUAGUAUUUGGUCGUAGACCCGAAACCAGGUGAUCUACCCUUGGUCAGGUUGAAGUUCAGGUAACACUGAAUGGAGGACCGAACCGACUUACGUUGAAAAGUGAGCGGAUGAACUGAGGGUAGCGGAGAAAUUCCAAUCGAACCUGGAGAUAGCUGGUUCUCUCCGAAAUAGCUUUAGGGCUAGCCUCAAGUGAUGAUUAUUGGAGGUAGAGCACUGUUUGGACGAGGGGCCCCUCUCGGGUUACCGAAUUCAGACAAACUCCGAAUGCCAAUUAAUUUAACUUGGGAGUCAGAACAUGGGUGAUAAGGUCCGUGUUCGAAAGGGAAACAGCCCAGACCACCAGCUAAGGUCCCAAAAUAUAUGUUAAGUGGAAAAGGAUGUGGCGUUGCCCAGACAACUAGGAUGUUGGCUUAGAAGCAGCCAUCAUUUAAAGAGUGCGUAAUAGCUCACUAGUCGAGUGACACUGCGCCGAAAAUGUACCGGGGCUAAACAUAUUACCGAAGCUGUGGAUUGUCCUUUGGACAAUGGUAGGAGAGCGUUCUAAGGGCGUUGAAGCAUGAUCGUAAGGACAUGUGGAGCGCUUAGAAGUGAGAAUGCCGGUGUGAGUAGCGAAAGACGGGUGAGAAUCCCGUCCACCGAUUGACUAAGGUUUCCAGAGGAAGGCUCGUCCGCUCUGGGUUAGUCGGGUCCUAAGCUGAGGCCGACAGGCGUAGGCGAUGGAUAACAGGUUGAUAUUCCUGUACCACCUAUAAUCGUUUUAAUCGAUGGGGGGACGCAGUAGGAUAGGCGAAGCGUGCGAUUGGAUUGCACGUCUAAGCAGUAAGGCUGAGUAUUAGGCAAAUCCGGUACUCGUUAAGGCUGAGCUGUGAUGGGGAGAAGACAUUGUGUCUUCGAGUCGUUGAUUUCACACUGCCGAGAAAAGCCUCUAGAUAGAAAAUAGGUGCCCGUACCGCAAACCGACACAGGUAGUCAAGAUGAGAAUUCUAAGGUGAGCGAGCGAACUCUCGUUAAGGAACUCGGCAAAAUGACCCCGUAACUUCGGGAGAAGGGGUGCUCUUUAGGGUUAACGCCCAGAAGAGCCGCAGUGAAUAGGCCCAAGCGACUGUUUAUCAAAAACACAGGUCUCUGCUAAACCGUAAGGUGAUGUAUAGGGGCUGACGCCUGCCCGGUGCUGGAAGGUUAAGAGGAGUGGUUAGCUUCUGCGAAGCUACGAAUCGAAGCCCCAGUAAACGGCGGCCGUAACUAUAACGGUCCUAAGGUAGCGAAAUUCCUUGUCGGGUAAGUUCCGACCCGCACGAAAGGCGUAACGAUUUGGGCACUGUCUCAACGAGAGACUCGGUGAAAUCAUAGUACCUGUGAAGAUGCAGGUUACCCGCGACAGGACGGAAAGACCCCGUGGAGCUUUACUGUAGCCUGAUAUUGAAAUUCGGCACAGCUUGUACAGGAUAGGUAGGAGCCUUUGAAACGUGAGCGCUAGCUUACGUGGAGGCGCUGGUGGGAUACUACCCUAGCUGUGUUGGCUUUCUAACCCGCACCACUUAUCGUGGUGGGAGACAGUGUCAGGCGGGCAGUUUGACUGGGGCGGUCGCCUCCUAAAAGGUAACGGAGGCGCUCAAAGGUUCCCUCAGAAUGGUUGGAAAUCAUUCAUAGAGUGUAAAGGCAUAAGGGAGCUUGACUGCGAGACCUACAAGUCGAGCAGGGUCGAAAGACGGACUUAGUGAUCCGGUG
rnacentral:rRNA from 1 species